CGGAGUCUCUAAAUUGUACCGAUUAUGCACGUCCUAGGAUAUGUGCUCUGUGCUUUUGUUGCUUUUUCAACGAAAAUGUUUUUUGACGGCGGUUCCCAGGGGCAUAUGAUUUUUGAAAAAGUGACCGUGGAGAACAAUUCCUGUCUAUUCAGAAAUAUCACCAUCGCAAAUGGAAGAUAUGGGAAGCCCUCCAAUAGCUGCCUGAGAGCCUUGUGCGUGGCGCCGAACCAGAAAGUUUGGUACAUGAAUUGCAGCAAACCUGCCACAUUUCCAAAAGAAGACAAAAACUGCAGUGUAAGGGUAAACACCACUGCUCCUUAUCCUUACUGCUGCCCGAUGACGGUGUGCUCAUAAAAUUGAA